AUGGGGUGCAGCNGGCGCGAAACCUCCGCUAUGCGCGAAAGCGCGACGGGGUCACUCCGAGUGCCGACCGCUGAGGUCGGCUUUUGCCCNGUCCAAAAGGCUGGGCGAAUAAGGGGAGGGCAAGUUUGGUGUCAGCCGCCGCGGUAAUACCAACUCCCCGAGUGGUCGGGACGGUUAUUGGGCUUAAAGCGUCCGUAGCCGGCCUGGCAAGUUCCCGGUUAAAUCCGGCGUCUCAAGCGCCGGGCUGCCGGGAAGACUGCUAGGCUAGGGAGCGGGAGAGGCGGGCGGUAUUCCCUGGGUAGGGGUAAAAUCCUCAGAUCCAGGGAGGACCAUCAGUGGCGAAGGCGGCCCGCUAGAACGCGUCCGACGGUGAGGGACGAAAGCUGGGGGAGCGAUCCGGAUUAGAUACCCGGGUAGUCCCAGCCGUAAACGAUGCAGGCUAGGUGUGUGGGUGGCUUCGAGCUACCCAUGUGCCGAAGGGAAACCGUUAAGCCUGCCGCCUGGGGAGUACGGCCGCAAGGCUGAAACUUAAAGGAAUUGGCGGGGGAGCAC
rnacentral:rRNA from 1 species